UACUGACACAUUCACUCCAAGAGUCCUCCCAUCCUGCAGUGGGUUCCUCCAGGGAUGGAGUUUCCAGACAGUUUUGAAGCUGCUCUGGCCAUUCCGGGUUCCUCUCUCUCUUCCUAGUCUCCCCUGGCAUACCUUCUUCCCUACUGCACUUCCUCCCUUCCUCCUUCCUCUUCCCACUUUCAGCUCUUUCGAAGGAUAAUUUUUACUUUCUCUGCUCUCUUAGGAACUCCUGGAAGCAGGACAUGGAGCGGGGGAACCCAGAGUGGGCAUGUGCCAGUGGCCCCAUGAGCAGGAGCCUUCGGCCUCAGAGCCGCCCGCAAAUCAUUAAAGAAGUCCUGGCUGUCCCCAACUCCAUCCUGGAGCUCCCCUGCCCCCACCUGUCAGCCUUGGCCGCUUACUAUUGGAGUCAUGGCCCAGCAGCAGUCCCAGAAGCCUCUUCCACUGUCUACAAUGGCUCCCUCUUGCUGAUAGUGCAGGAUGGAGUUGGGGGUCUCUACCAGUGCUGGGCAACUGAGAAUGGCUUUUCAUACCCCGUGAUCUCCUACUGGGUGGACAGCCAGGACCAGACCCUGGCCC
rnacentral:sRNA from 1 species